AUCUCCACUCUUUGUCCCCAAAGGGGCAGUGGAAACGAAAAAGCUCCAUAGCCGAAAACCUUUUCGUAAAUUCAUUGUUGCUGGGCUUGAGCUUUUGUUCUAUUGCUGAUUUCUAACGUUGGCCCAAAAAAAAAAACAAAAAAAUGGCGACAUUCUUUCAGAGACUCGCUAAAGCUACUGCCGUAGCAUUCGCCAAUGCAGUUGGGAGCCAACCCCAAGUCCGGUUAUAGAAUUCCUUUCAGAGCACUUGCAGCAGUUUCUGGUGGAAUCUCUUAUCUAUACUAUGUUUCCUCACCUGAUAUGGUAAUUUUUGCCUGCUGAUUUUAUCUGGAUUUUUCUUCUUUUUCAUUGUUUGAGGCAAGGUAGGGUAGUUCCAUAACUGAAAUGAUUUGUUGAUGAUUGAGAAAAGUGAUUGUAAGUCGGGUUUGUGGCUUGCCCAUUUGGGUUUCUUGGAUAAUGGGUGUUUAUUUUUCUCGAUUUUAAUGUAUGAAGAAAAAAUGAGUAUGUUCGUGCUGAUUUUAUUUUAUUUUUUUUAAGUUUUGCUACAGAUGACUAUUUUGAAGCUCAAUACUUGUUUGAUUACUGGUACAUUGCGCUUUAGGUUGUUGGGAGUGCUGGGUUUGUUUUUAGAUUUUAUCGUUAAUAAAAUCUUACCACUUGAGAAGAAAUAGGAGGACCCAGAAAGAAAUUAUUGAAGUAAAUUAAUCCCGUGUGCAUUACAUUGGUUUUGAAAAUGCUUUUCCUAUUUCGAAAAAAAUCUGCUUCUUAUACUUUGCAUGCAACAUUUUGACCUAAGUAUAUAAUUUUGCUUUUUUCAUUAGAUGAAAAACUUUUUCUUUGCUCAUGUCAUGAUUUAAUCUGGAAUUGGUGUAGUUUUCUACUUGGUUACUUGAUAUAAUUGUUGUUGAAGCGACCCUUGCUUUAAGACACUGAAUAAUUUAUACUUCGUAUCUAAAUGUUGGGUAGUUGUUGCAUGAGUGGUUGGUUGAUAUAGGACAUUGUUACAGAUGCCCAAACAAAAUAUUCAUGCAAUAAUGUGUCACAACUGUGAAAAGGCAUUCAGAUAUGAUCAAUAGCACCAUUGACUAACCAACCUUUUCAAGUUUUUGGCAGGAUAUCCGAAUAUAAUUUUAAAGCUUCAGAAGUUAGUUCAGUCACCAAAGUAACUAAUAUUCUAUAUUACUCAUAAUGUAGAUUUUCAUUUGAUCACACCGCCAAGUUGGGUUUAGGUAUUGUUUCAUGCCUCCUUACAAGGUAUACUCUUCUGUUUUUGUUAGUAAUGUUGUUCUCAAAUUCCUAGUUGCAAGGAGUCUAUACCAUUAUUCUCUGUUUAUGGUUGUUCUAGUAACUGCAGGGCUCCACUGGGACAAGUUGCUGAAGGGAAGCCUAAAUAUAUUGUGUGUCCGUAUGUCUCUUUCUUCGAAUGCACAUGCGCUUUCUUGAAGUAGUUUUUCUCAUUUUUGUACUGGAUUGUUUGAAAUUGUAAAUCAUCAGAAGUUUAGUAUUUUUUUUUUUUUUUUUUGGCUCAUAUAUGUGGAGGUUUAUGUUUAUCCUUCUAACUGCAUAUUCAUUUUUUAUUAAUUUUAUCUUCAUGCAUGUUCUAUGUUCUUUCAUUAUAAAGUUAUUGGUUACUGAUUCCACUACAAUAUAUAACUUGAAUCUUUAAGUCGAGAUUAUGAUUUUACUAAACAAGUUGUUGAUUGUUCUCCCCCUCAAUGUCACUUUGUGGAACAAUUUUUUUGUUUGCAUAUACAGGUACGCUACAAUAUCAGAUCCAGAUGCGAAGGGAUAUUUUGACCUAUUAAUUAAGGUGUACCCAGAAGGUAAAAUGAGUCAGCAUCUUGCAAGCUUAAAACCAGGCGAUGUGGUUGAAGUGAAGGGAUGAGGGUCAUUUUUUGUGGGCAUGGUGUGCUGAAAGUUAACAACGUCCAUAGUACUGCAUCUCAGAUUGUCAUAGAGACAAUGUAAUUGGAUUUAUUUUAAUUUUGCAAAACCAAUUGACAAAUCUGGCACAGAAAGCUUUUUGGAUAUUCUCCCAUGUAAAGUGGAAAAUUUUCAGAUUACUGACUUGCUUGGGAAUAUCACAAGUGUGACGGUCCGCACCUUUGGAAUGGCCUAGUGGCAUUUUCGUAAAUAUUUGAAGGUCGGGAUAUUCGAUCCCGGGCCGUGGGAAGUUCUUAAGAAUGUCACUAGGAUGGUGCAUAUCGAAUGGCAAGCCAAGAUGUGAAGGUUUGCUAGAGAAAACCCCAUUAUGAUUCCUCGCACAAAGUGAUAUCUAUGGGUGCCAGAAAGGAAAUGGCUCAAUAAGCUUUUUAGGGGGGUGGUCCGUGUCUGGCUCUCCACGGCCCCCGGCUCCGGCUUCGAGCUUGGGCUAAGCGAGCCUCCCAUGGGCGACGGCAAGCCAUGGGGCGGACAUAAAGUGCCACGGAGGUGGUCUUAUGUCUCCGAGGGACAGGGAGUCCCGAGGACAGUACCGGUAGGCGCUACGAGCUGGUAUUGCGCGUCACUCCUGUGUCAGAGGCUAAGUGUAGCAUUCGCUAUGCCGUUUUCUAUCGGCUAUGCCAAGAACACACGUAGGCCUUUGUUACAAGGCUGUGGCAAAUGUGCUAGUGAGCGGGGGCUCGGGUUCUGCCUCGCUCACGAGGGUUGGAAGUUAAAUAGGCACGGACGGGGCGACACCGUGCCAUCGGGUGACAUUCGUAUAUGGGCUUCCAAUCUUGUGUUGCUACCCUGGGUGGCAUGUUGACACGAUGCUGGUGUGCAUGCCCUAGGGUCGGAUGCUAUUCGAGAUGUACAUGGACCAAGGCCCGAGUGAAGAGAUGGGUUGCUGGCUAGAUCUUGGCACAAGAUUGAGUAACAAGCUACCGAGUGGGCGCGAGGCCAUCGGGCUAGCUUGCUGAGCGACAUGAGCCAUGAUGGCUAUGGGAACCACAUGAGCAUACAAUUGGUAUCAGAUGGGUCGAUAUAUGAACUCGGAUAGUGAAAACGCUGGCCAUGACUAGAGAGUCUUGGCGCCGCACGGUCUAUUUCCGCUGCGUAAAAUGUAGGACCGUGACAACAAGCAUGUGUUGAAGCCAAAACACUAAAUGCUAACUGAUGAUGAGAAGCAGAAACUUGUAAAGAAAAACAGCAUAGACGAAAUGCAGGUUAUUAUUGAUUUAACUAGAGACUGCAAAUGUGCAAUUGGAUAGGAUAUAUAUAUAUAUAUAUAUUUUUUUUUU